rnacentral:misc_RNA from 1 species
GAUGAAGAACGCAGCGAAAUGCGAUAAGUAGUGUGAAUUGCAGAAUUCAGUGAAUCAUCGAAUCUUUGAACGCACGUUGCGCCCUUUGGUAUUCCUUAGGGCAUGCCUGUUCGAGCGUCAUUUAAACCUUCAAGCUCAGCUUGGUGUUGGGUGACUGUCCGCUUCACCGCGGACUCGCCUCAAAAGUAUUGGCGGCCGGUACAUUGGCUUCGAGCGCAGCAGAAACGCGAACUCGGGCCCGUCGUAUUGGCUCCCAGAAGCUAUCUUCACAAUUUUGACCUCGGAUCAGGUAGGGAUACCCGCUGAACUUAAGCAUAUCAAUAAGCGGAGGA